ensembl:processed_transcript 1810059H22Rik RIKEN cDNA 1810059H22 gene
GAGCGUGCUGGGGAGGUGUGGCGCUCCUGCCAGGCUCCGUGGAGCAGGACCCCCCCCCCCCCCCGCCCCUGCCAACCCCUGCGACAUCCAUAAAACGCUGCCCCCUCCAUCCCCACCCCCACCUCCAACACCCGCACACCUGGUCCCCACGUGGAGCUGGCCGUGGGAACCUGGGGGUAGUGAGCCCCAGGAACCCGAGGACUGCGCAGAACCUUUGCAGAAGCACAAGCCCAGCACCUCGCGGUGCCAGACUGUGCAGAGGACCCUUCUUUGCCACGUGAUUCCCAGACGCGGGUGCAAAUCUCUCUGAGGACUGCGUACGUGCCUCUCUGCGUGGGGGAGUGGGGAAUGCUGGAACCCAGAAGGCCUAGCUUCUAGAACCGCUGCUGACAGGUGUCUGCGGAGGAGGCUCCCCAUCUGCUGGACCAACCGCCGGCUUCCUUCCUCUCCCCAGGACUGAGUCACUGGAGCAUCUAUCUGCACGCUGCGGUUUCGACUUUCCCCCAAGUGCAUAGCGGUAUGUCAUCUGAGAGGCAGAAGUCAGGCUGCCCCUGGUGCCAAGACAGAGGCUGAGGUGACAUGCAUUGUCCCGGCAGCCUGGUUUCUUACAACCUCCUGAGAGGACAGAAGGACCUGUCAGGCAUCAGCCUGGUGGAGAAAUCCCUUUGAUUUCCACAGCCUGAAUAUUACUCUCCUGUGCGGCCAGGAGCUUAAGAGUUUCGUUUCACUGUUUCUAUGUCUACUUAUUUUUAAUCCAAAUACACAGAGGUAGCUUU